rnacentral:tRNA from 1 species
UCCUGAGUAGCUAAGCUGGUAAAGAAUCUGCCUGCAAAGUGGAAGACUUGGGUUCGAUCCCUGGGUUGGGAA